GUCUACGCUCCAGAUUUUGACUUGAUCUCUACAAUACCCCUAACUACCAUGUCUACUGCAGCAACUCUGUUAGAUCAGCUUAGCUCAUCCCCCGCCAAACACAGACAAUCAAGAAUUUAAGCUCGUCUCAAUAGUACAGAUCAGAACAAGCCUGAUGAUGCCCACUCAUAUGUGGAGCCCCUGCUACCAGGACCAAUCUCACCGACACAUGGCCCCGAUGACUAGACUGCGGCAGCUCUGGACAUCAGAUCAGGGGCCUGUUUCAUAAAGAGUUUCAAGUAACAUCGCCAUUAUGGCAACUACCAUGAUGACAACACUCAACAGCCAGAUAUGUUAAUGAUUUCCAUGGAAGUUACAAUAAUGGCAAUGUUAAGAUAGUUGUAAGUCUUUAAGAAACGGACCCCGGAUCAUCAGCUCAGCUCACCUGCAAAGCUCGGACGUGUAGCAACCAGACCGAUCGGGACAAGUCAAGGGAUCAGAAGUGGUGGUGUAACAGCGAGGAUGUUGCAGAGAAUGGCUUCAGGAUGUUUGUGAAGAAAUAUGAGUAUCGGACAAUGGUGAUAUUCCAUGUCCAGUGUUGGCAAAGGUGUUGGUAUUGGCGUUGGAAUUUGGAUUGCUUCCCCUAGCUCCAAAAUCUAUCUGAGUUUGUAAAAGUGAUCCAGAUCACAUUAUUGACAUCUCAAAAACUACAAGCAGGGACUGGGAUUUCUUUCCAUGAGAGCAUAACCGUAACAGGUUCAUAUGGCAGAAGGGGUUCAACAGGGAGCACUGAAUAUGGAGCUAGAUUAAAAAUAAGUCUUUGUUAAGGUGGAGGAUAAACUCAACAAACUCUGGUCAGAUGUCAAGAUAAUUCCUAGAAAUAAGACACCAGAACCAGUGCUUUAGCCAUCAUAACAAGGGAGAGAAUGCAGGCUAGAAGAGGGACGAAGGAAUGCUGACCUCUUUGUCAUUUUGCCAAACAUAAAGGACCUAUCAGCUUUUCAACAGAGACUAAGGAGAACAUAAGGCUGUUUUACCAUCCAUUGAACUCAUGUCAAACAUGGAAUCACCAGCUAUCUGGUGUCAACCAUCUUCCAAGCGAAAAUCAGAAAGAGAGAGGGUCUACCAGAGACAUGGACAUGCCACCAAUCUUCAAGUCUUCAUCUACCAGGGAUGUCUGAUGUAACUGGUCUUUGCCUGAAGUACGAUCAACAUAAGAGCGGAUUUGGCACCAACCUCUUCCAUAUACAACCUCCAUCUUUUGUUACUAAUUUUCCUCAUAUUUCAUGAUGGAGAAAGUUAACAGGGAUUGCUCUUGACACCAGUCAUUAUCUACACUCUAUGUCUGGUGUUAGCCUUAGCCCUAUUUUAACUGGGCCUGUUCAGAUCAAUUUUUUACUGGUAUACAAUGUAGAUGAUGUUAUGUGUUCGGCUAUGUGGAAUAUUACUCCAAUGACUGUCUAGAAUAUGCUCAAGCCUUAAUGGGGGGGGGGGGGGGUUACACCUGACUUUAUUAUGACUUUUGUGUAGCUCCACGGAGCAGGUCCAAGCUAUUGUUUCUUUGCUGAUAGUUGUAGUAGUUGAAAUAAUUAACAACUUUAUCUUGGUGAAGUUUGUAUUUGUGAAAAUUGUGCUGACUUUUCUGCAAAAGUGGAUCCAAAGGUUUUCCAGAGUUUUUCCCUUAUGAGUUUUAUCUCUGGUUUUUUACCCUGGAUCUACUUGUCGUAGAACUAGUCAGGGGGGGGGGGGGUUAAGGGGAUGGGGUGGGGUGUUUUAGGGUAAAUAAUUCAAAAAUGCAAAUGGACUUGCAACGACAUCUCCCAACUAUUAAGUCUUGCUCAUCUUUUAAGAAUGAAUUUUGUAUGCCUGGAUAUGUGGGUCCAAAUUUUUUUUUUACAUUUUGUAUUAAGGCAUGCAAGAUGCAAAAUUGGUCAAAAGCAUGAUUUUUGUAUGUACAAAUGUACAACUCCAUUGCAAAUCCUGUUUCUUGCCAAAAUUUAUCAAUGUAAAUCAAUUUUAUGCGGAAAAAAACCUCAAAACAAGUCGAAAAACAAAGGUCAAGGUCACAGAGAUACACAAAUGUACAUAUAUACAUAUACAUAUAUACCGUAUACAUAUAUCAAAUAUCUCAUUCUCGAGAUAAUUGAAAAACUGUAUUUGAGAUGGACUGCGAAUUCAGAUGAUAAUUUACCUUUAUUGGCAAGGCAGUUAUCUUACUAGAUUUUGGGGUCUGGAGGUCUAAGUUCAUAGAGGUCACGUUAUACCUUAAAGUAUCUUUUUCUCGCGAUAAACCUUUUUAAGGAUUCAACUUUAAACUUUACUCGAGUACAUGUAUGGAAGUGACAAUGAUCUGAAUAGAUAUUAGGGUCAUGAGGUUCAAAGGUCACAUGGUUCAUUAUAAACAGUAAUAUCUUGUUUUUGCAAUAACUAUAAUUGUUGGGGUCUUGGGAACAAAGUACAGAUAUCAUUUUAUACAUUGUUCUUGCUGUCCAGCGAACUGUUUGAGAGAAAGUUGCCAAUCAAAGACUCAUGUAUGUAUCUAUGAUAGGAUGAUCUUUAUCAGAUUUUAGGGUCAUAAGGUCAGGGGUCAAAGGUUACAGAUGUUCUUAAUUCAAGAUAUUAAAAGUUAUACAUAUUCUACAUCUGGCAAUAGCAGAGACAUAAAUUUUGACUGUCUGCAGUCGAGAAUCCCUUCUGUUUCUGUCAAAUUUUGCAUAGUCCCACUAAUAUACAUUAACAAUGUAUGGUUCCAGUCAUGUGUUCCAGUUCAGGGUUUUUCCCCCUUAUUUCAGAUCAUUUUAAAUUAAUGCAAACCAAGUCUGGGAAGUGGUUUACAAAUAUUUAAAACUGACUACAAGUCAUGCUUACUCAAGUGAUCAUUAAUACGCAAAUGAUAAUUUGCACUGCAGUCUCAUUAAUACAUGUAUGUAAUACAGCAUAUCCUCUGAUUCUGAUCCAAUCAAUAUGAUGAUCUGUUAUUUUCCACAUACAAGUGAAAAUUCAAGAGCAAUUGUUGUUCACAUUUAAAUCUUUGUGAUACACCUCUUUGAUUUGUCUCUUACGUCACAUGUUCUAGGGACAGUGAUAUUCUGUUUACCGGUUAUUCAAAACCCUAAAUCUGUUGUGGUUCUUUUUUUCAUGGUAAAUUUCAUUGAAUUAACUUUUGAAAAAUGGAAUUAAUGUAUUUGCUGUGUACAUUUCUAAAACAAAAUGGAAUUUCCAUUUUAGAUCAAGUAUUAAACAGAGUUACAGGUUUCCAGAAACAGAAAAUGCAAUUUUUCAAAAACCAAAAAUCACUGUCCCUAAUGUCAUGUCAGAUAGCUUGGACCUGCCCUCACAUAUGUAAUGUACGAUUGUUUAUACUAUAUACUUGCUUUGUAUUCGCAAUCUCAUUUUUCUCUCUUGAAAAUAAAAUGUAAGACCGGCAGCGAAGGAGAUUCGUUCAAGUGGGAGGACCAGAGCAGUUGACCUCAUUGAUUGAUGGUGGUAGGCCCUGAACCUCACAAACAUGGUUUCCGGUCUGGUUUGAGCUGUGAUCUUCCUGCCAAAAUUACACAAUAUGUGACAUCACUACCAAGAGUUAAGUUUUUCAGUGUACAGAGAGGGGCACUAGACACCAUUGUGCAUGGUAUACAACCUCUGUAAGGUAAGUGCUUUAUUUCUGAUUUCUAUGAUAUUUUGUGUAGCCUAGAGUAUGUGGGACAAUGCAAUCGGUUUUCCAGCAAUUAGUACUGAGGGCACUAAUAGGUUUGGGAAAAUUAGGCAUCAAUUUUACCCAUUUGGGGCUUUUUAUCCACUUUUUGCCACUAUUGCAUUUUUUAAAUUCAUAACAUUUUGUUAAAUCUUUGGAAUGAUAUCCUUUUCAUGAAAAUCUAUCAAAACUUUCACAUUUCCAAAGGAAAUUUUGAAAAUUUGUAGGGAUUUCAAAAAACUCUUCUACAAUACAAUACUUGCAUUAUCUGUUGAUCCAUUGAUAGUCGUCUUUCUUUAUAUACCUUUCUGUACUAUCUGCUAUAGCUGCUGCUCUAAAUUCAUCUUUGUUUCACACUGUUGCAACAUUUUAUCUGCCAUGACUGAUAUGAUAAUGUGCUAUUAAGACAAAAAAAAUAAUUUAACAGGAAAUUUGAAUAUAUUUACAGACUUUGAUCUCAUUUAAAAUAAUUAAUUGCAGAGCCAUGAUAGAGCAGUGAGAAUAUUUUGCAAUAAAUAUAUUCCCUAUUUCUGUACAUAUUAGUUUUUUUGACAGACUAAAAAGUGUUUGGUCCUCUUCCCUUUUCACCAUGAACCUAAAUGUUUGGGAAAAUGCCGAGUGUGUAUCCAUCAUGUAAACACAUAAUGCGAGAGAUUUAGCCAGACCUGUGUUGGAUGACAAUGAUAUUGUGAUGAAGGUGGCUUCUCAAUAUCGGUUAGUCUGCCAAAAACGAAAGAAAAAACGCCUUUUAUCCUCAACUCUGGAUAAAAAGUUUAACCCAUAUUUAUGAGGAUUGUGUGCUUCAAUGUUUUAUUCCACAAUGUGUAAAGACAAAAAUAUUCCUUCAAAUGCUGCAAUACAAGUUAGCAUGGAAUCUAGUUGUAGAAGUGCAAUGUCAAAGUUGAUUUCCAUCUUUUCAGCUAGUGCUAUUUGCUUGUCCACUGUGGUGUCUCUAGUUGACUCCUAUUGAUGUUUUGUAUUGGACCUUUUGCAUGUUUGUUAAAUUGUUUGACGGAGCAGUUUAGCCUAGAUGGUUUUGGGGCUUGGUGGCAGUGAUCAAGGUCGAUCAAGAACCGGUUUGCACUCCAAAGGAGAGAAGAGAUGAACUGUUGAUGUAUGUUUGAAGAGAGUGCUGCUUACUUCUGGAGUAAUGUUUCAAUUGCAUGUGACAUUUUUGCAUUUGUUGUUUGAAAAUCUGGCAAUGUUGUGAUAAUCCUCAAGUAAUCUCUGACGAAGAGGGAUGGUGUUCUUUUCAACCUAGAUGUUGGUAUCCAGUGGUCUUCACUACAUCAUGCAAGUUGUUAGACAUUAUAAAUGGUGAUAUCUUAUGAUGGUGCCUUACAGGUGGUCGGAUUGAUAAUAAUCAUAGUAUCAUUUGGUAGACAUUACAGCACUCUGAUCUGCAUGUCUCUUGCUAUCUAAGCUUAUUACCAUCUGGAAUUCAUCCACGUUUCAGUCUGUGGGUGGGGCAGUGAUCCCCCAAGAUUGUCAACCUUCUCAAUUCUCCAUUUUCCAUUCUUUCCAUGUUUAUUCAGUCAAUGCAUUGCCUGGUAAUUUUUCCUCUGUACAUUUAAGGCUAUUUCCUGUGUCAAUGAGAAUUGCAUUUAGGGUUGCUGUAUUUGGGAAGGCAUUUGAUGGGGCUUGGCCUAUCUGAUUUGGUUGAUCAGGUUGUCUUUCAAAUUCACAUUUAUCUCUCUCCUGUGUUUUGAAAACUUUAUUUGGUCCAAAGCAGGGUUCCUAUUUGGACAUACCUGAAAAAUUGGUUCAAGUCAGGCUUUACCUACUGUGGUCAUAGAGGAUUGUGGCAUGGCCUACGGGAAGGAGCCAGGGUAGGAUGACCUUUCGAGACACGAGAAUUCUGACUAUGGUGAUCAAUGCAAGAUGCUCCUAAUUCAUUGAAGAGCCUCAUCAGCAUCCACACUCGGUGCCAUCGCUCUCAAGGGGUCAGAGUUAAUGAUUCUUCAAGACUUUACCAUGGUAUGGUAUUCAGUUAAAGAGUUUUGUUGUACCUUGAAGAGCCUCAGCAGGAUUUUCACAUGGAUCUGUUAUUGUGGCAGGGACGAAGGGGCACUUCUAGCCAAUACGUAUGUUUGAAGAUAAGGGGUGUAUAGAUUAGAGGACUUCUUCUAGAGAUUGUUUCAACGGUUUCCAACAUCCAGUCUGGAAUGACUUUAGGAGUUUCUAUUUGUUGCCGUCUGUGAAAUUUGACAUUGCACUACACUUCUAGGGAACAUGCAUUGUAUUGUGGUAAUUGGUGGCGCAUUGUGGGAUAUUAAGUGCACUGCACUUCCUCUGGACGAGCCUAUCUUGAGGGUUCGACCUGUUAGAUCUAGAUUCGCAUAUAUCUUGUCAUUCUGAAUGCAAUAGCUUUUUCUCUCAAAAUUGUGUGGAAAGAAGUGAUGGAUGCAUACGCAAAACAAAAAAUUUGGUUCCUUUAUGAUGGUGAAUAAAAUGAACCCCCCCUCAAAAAAAAAAAAAAAAAAAACAUAUUUCUUUGUAUUAACCAAAAAUGCAGUGUUCAUUGAAGUUCGCUGAAACACAAAUGUACAUGUACAAAAAAGGGUGCAUUUAUUUGCAAAUAUUUCCCAUCUGCUCAGGCAACUGCUCAUUUAAAAAGAACCCCCCCCCCCACCC